AGCAACUCCGCAGGACUCAAAUACAUUCCUGGGUUACCAACAAAGACAUCACAACCACCCUGACUACAUCUUUGGCAGACCACAAGAGGGCACCAAACUUCAUCUUUCCGGCUGAGAAAACAGCAUCUGGGCAUUGCAAAGUACAAAAUGAAGAGGUGGCCAAAGGAACAAGUUGUUAUUGUUUGUCUUUGUUCCCUAAUAAAAUUAGAAACAUAUCUUUAUAUUA
rnacentral:lncRNA from 1 species